UCCCUGGUGACUUAGAUGGGAAAGAAUCUGCCUGCAAUGCAGAAGACCCAGGUUCGAUCUCUGGGUUGGGAA
rnacentral:tRNA from 1 species